AGCCAUGCAAGUCAGGGGUCCUUGUGACACCGGCAGACUGCUCAGUAACACGUCGGUAAUCUGUCCUUAGGUCAGGGAUAAUCUCGGGAAACUGAGUCUAAUACCUGAUAUGAGAUUUCAACUGGAAUGUGAUGUCUCAGAAACUUGUGCCUAAGGGUGAGCCGGCGGCAGAUUAGGCUGUUGGCGGGGUAACGGCCCACCAAACCGAAGAUCUGUAGGGGCCCUGAGAGGGGGAGCCCCGAGAAGGACACUGAGAUACUGGUCCUAGCCCUACGGGGUGCAGCAGGCGCGAAACCUUUACAAUGCACGAAAGUGUGAUAAGGGGAUCCGAAGUGCCUAUACAUUGUAUAGGCUUUUGCCAAAGGUAAAAUCUUUGGCGAAUAAGGGGUGGGCAAGACUGGUGCCAGCCGCCGCGGUAACACCAGCGCCACAAGUGGCAAUCGCUUUUAUUGGGCCUAAAGCGUCCGUAGCCGGUUUAGUAAAUCUUCUGUGAAAUUGUGCAGCUUAACUGUACAGCGUGCAGGAGACACUGCUAGACUAGAGACCGGGAGGAGCUGAGAGUAUUCUUGGAGGAGCGGUAAAAUGUUGUGAUUCCUUGAAGACUACCUGUGGCGAAGGCGCUCAGCUAGAACGGGUCCGACGGUGAGGGACGAAAGCCAGGGGAGCGAACCGGAUUAGAUACCCGAGUAGUCCUGGCUGUAAACGCUGCGAGCUAGGUGUUGCAUAUUCUCCGUGAAUGUGCAGUGUCGAAGCGAAGGUGUUAAGCUCGCCGCCUGGGAAGUAUGGUCGCAAGACUGAAACUUAAAGGAAUUGGCGGGGGAGCACUACAAGGGGUGCGGCGUGCGGUUUAAUCUAAUUCAACACAGAGAAUCUCACCAGCAGCGACGGCAGAAUGAAGGUCACUCUAAUGGGGUUACCUGACGAGCCGAGAGGUAGUGCAUGGCCGUCGUCAGCUCGUGCCGCAAGGUGUCCUGUUAAGUCAGGCAACGAGCGAGACCUGCACUCACAAUUGCCAGCAGCCUCUGGGACUGGGCACAUUGUGAGGACUGCCCGUGAAAACGGGAGGAAGGUGCAGGCUACGGUAGGUCUGUAUGCUCCGAAUCUGCUGGGCUACACGCGCGCAACAUUGGUAGGAACAAUGGGAUGCGACUCCGAAAGGAGAAGCCAAUCCUCGAAAUCCUAUCUAGGUUCAGAUCGAGGUUUGUAACUCAACCUCGUGACGCUGGAAUCCCUAGUAAUCAGACUUUAUCAGAG
rnacentral:rRNA from 1 species